rnacentral:tRNA from 1 species
AAGGGUAUAGCUCAGGGGUAGAGUGUGUGUUUAGCAUGCACAAGGUCCUGGGUUCAAUCCCCAGUACCUCCU